AGUGAACGCUGGCGGUAGGCCUAACACAUGCAAGUCGAACGGCAGCACAGUAAGAGCUUGCUCUUACGGGUGGCGAGUGGCGGACGGGUGAGGAAUACAUCGGAAUCUACUUUUUCGUGGGGGAUAACGUAGGGAAACUUACGCUAAUACCGCAUACGACCUACGGGUGAAAGCAGGGGAUCUUCGGACCUUGCGCGAUUGAAUGAGCCGAUGUCGGACUAGCUAGUUGGCGGGGUAAAGGCCCACCAGGGCGACGAUCCGUAGCUGGUCUGAGAGGAUGAUCAGCCACACUGGAACCGAGACACGGUCCAGACUCCUACGGGAGGCAGCAGUGGGGAAUAUUGGACAAUGGGCGCAAGCCUGAUCCAGCCAUACCGCGUGGGUGAAGAAGGCCUUCGGGUUGUAAAGCCCUUUUGUUGGGAAAGAAAAGCAGCAGGUUAAUACCCCGCUGUUCUGACGGUACCCAAAGAAUAAGCACCGGCUAACUUCGUG
rnacentral:rRNA from 1 species